rnacentral:rRNA from 1 species
GCCCUAGUAAUAAUCUAAGGUGUGACCUGCCCAGUGGCUCUUAAUAGAUCAUAUAAAAUAUGUAAAAGAGAGUUAAAAGGACGCGGUAACCUUGACCGUGAUAAUGUAGCAUAAUCAUUCGCCAUUUAAUUGAUGGAUAGUAUGAAUGGUUAAACGAAUAUUCCACUGUCUUAAAAAGAAUUAAUCAAAAUUGAAAUAGCAGUUAAGAUGCUGCUUAAAACUGUAAGACGAAAAGACCCUAUAGAGCUUAACUAUAACCUCUAAUUCCAAUAUAAAACCUCAGUUUUUAUUUAUUAGAGGUUGGUAGUUUAGUUGGGGCGACUGUCUUCUAAAUUUAACGAAGAUAAGCAAUAUUAAUAAUUAAUUUAUUGUAUAACUAAAUAGUUUAACAAUUACUAAAGUAGGCUAUAAUGACCCGUUUCACCUUAAAAAAGAGUGAAACGAUCAAUUGAUAAAAGCUACCUUAGGGAUAACAGGAUAAUUUCAUUUUAGAGUCCUAAUCGAAAAUGGAGUUUGUCACCUCUAUGUUGAAUUAAGAUAUCCUGAUAAUGCAGAAGUUAUCAAAGGUAGGUCUGUUCGACCUUUAAAAUCUU